rnacentral:lncRNA from 1 species
CAAGUUGCUCAUUUGGUGUUGAACAUUCUUGUUGAAUAGCUUGAUAUACAUUGUUGUGCCUAUUUUCUAACAGCUUAAGCUUAUGGUAUGAGAGCUUUGGUCUCUGUGAGGUCUUAAGUUCGAGUCUCGGUCUCGGUUUCCAUUCUUCUCUCCAUUAGCAUUCUGCUUCUUUGUGUAGAUGUUUAUGUCUCCAUGUGCAACGCAUGGUUGCUCUUGAGGAGAGUAUUGGAUAGCUUGAUAUGCAUCGUUGGGCUCAUUUUCUAACAACUUGAGCUUUUGGGACAAUUGGUGACUAACAAUUUCUUCAUGUUGAAGUCAUGACAUCAGGUUUCAGCCUUAGAAGAUACAAAAUUGUAUUUUUACUACACAAAAUCACAAUGCCAUCAGAAUUUAAGUGCAAAUAUUGCUCCAACAAACAAAAUUUUCUAUGUUUGUUGAUUUUUGGUAGUGCUCGAACCGUUAAGUUUGAUGACUAGACCCUACUCUUGAAGUUGUAUGGUUCGGUCAACUUAUCUUGGAUUGCUUGCUAUACAAACUGUUAAUUCAUGUAUUGUUGAGCCAUGGAUUUGUUCUUGAUUAAUAUAUGAAAGCGUGG